AUACGUAGGUGACAAGCGUUAUCCGGAUUUACUGGGCGUAAAGGGCGUGUAGGCGGUCUUGCAAGUCAGAAGUGAAAUUCCUGAGCUCAACUCGGGCGCUGCUUCUGAAACUGCAGGACUUGAGUGCUGGAGGGGAUAGCGGAAUUCCUAGUGGAGCGGUAAAAUGCGCAGAUAUUAGGGAGAACACCGGUGGCGAAGGCGGGUUAUAUAACAUUACCAGGCGGUGAAGGGCGAAAGCGGUGGGGGCGAACAGUAAUAGAUCCCCUGGUAGUCCACGCCGUAAACGAUGAAUGCUAGGUGUGGGGGGACUGACCCCUUCCGUGCCGGAGUUAACACAAUAAGCAUUCCACCUGGGGAGUACGGCCGCAAGGUUGAAACUCAAAGGAAUUGGCGGGG
rnacentral:rRNA from 1 species